rnacentral:rRNA from 1 species
UACAGAGGUGGCAAGCGUUGUUCGGAAUUACUGGGCGUAAAGGGCGCGUAGGCGGUCUUCUAAGUCUUGUGUGAAAUCCCUCGGCUCAACUGAGGAACUGCACGGGAUACUGGAAGACUUGAGUUCGGGAGAGGGAAGCGGAAUUCCGGGUGUAGCGGUGAAAUGCGUAGAUAUCUGGAGGAACACCGGUGGCGAAGGCGGCAUCCUGGACCAACACUGACGCUGAUGAGCGAAAGCCAGGGGAGCAAACGGG